rnacentral:tRNA from 1 species
GGGGAUUUAGCUCAGUUGGUAGAGUGUUUGCUUUGAAUGCACAAGGCCUUGGAUUUAAUCCCCA